rnacentral:rRNA from 1 species
GAUGAACGCUGGCGGCGUGCCUAAUACAUGCAAGUCGAGCGAACGGACGAGAAGCUUGCUUCUCUGGUGUUAGCGGCGGACGGGUGAGUAACACGUGGAUAACCUACCUAUAAGACUGGGAUAACUUCGGGAAACCGGAGCUAAUACCGGAUAAUAUUUUGAACCGCAUGGUUCAAAAGUGAAAGACGGUCUUGCUGUCACUUAUAGAUGGAUCCGCGCUGCAUUAGCUAGUUGGUAAGGUAACGGCUUACCAAGGCAACGAUGCAUAGCCGACCUGAGAGGGUGAUCGGCCACACUGGAACUGAGACACGGUCCAGACUCCUACGGGAGGCAGCAGUAGGGAAUCUUCCGCAAUGGGCGAAAGCCUGACGGAGCAACGCCGCGUGAGUGAUGAAGGUCUUCGGAUCGUAAAACUCUGUUAUUAGGGAAGAACAUAUGUGGAAGUAACUGUGCACAUCUUGACGGUACCUAAUCAGAAAGCAACGGCUAACUACGUG